rnacentral:lncRNA from 1 species
AAAUUUACUCAACCUGUACAUGGUUUAAAAAACUUGAUUAAAUCUAACAAACUAACAGAUAUAUGGAGAAACUUAAAUGAAAAUAAACAGCAAUUCACCUGGAGAAGAAGAGAUAAGUCACAAGCUAGUAGGAUUGACAUGAUUUUUAUUGGGUCAGAUUUUUUACCACUGGUAGAAUUUUGUAAAAUCAAACCAGCUGUUAUUCGGUCUACUGACCACCAAAGCGUAUUUCUAAAAUUUAAGCCAGGGGUAUCAGAAAGGGGCAAUGGGUAUUGGAAAAUUAACAAUUCAGUAUUGCAAGAUAAAGCUUACCAAGAACUGAUUUAUACUUUGAUAGAUAAAUAUAAUUUCGAAAAGGAAACAUUAGAUUGUAGAUUAUUAUGGGAUGGGUUUAAAAUCGCGGUAAGGGAAGUAACCACAAAUUAUUGUAAAAAUAAAGCAAAGUUAACAAAGGGACGAAGAUAUACUCUGGAAAAAGAAUUAGAAGAAAAAAUAAAAUUAAGAGACGAGACAAAUAUAGAUGACGAUGAAAUAGAAAAGAAAUUAAUGGUAUUGAAGAAGAGCUAAAUAAGAUAUAUGAUGAAAAAGCGAAGGGAGCUCAAGUGAGAUCUAGAGAAAAAUGGGUAGAGUUUGGUGAAAAAAAUAAUUCUUACUUCCUUGGGUUAGAAAAAAAAAAAGACAAG